rnacentral:lncRNA from 1 species
ACACACACACACACACACACACACCGGCGUACUGGAACCUCUCUCGCGAUCCCGCACCCAGCUUGAAUUCAGCAAGAAUCGAAAACAGGUGUGCCCCCGUGACACACGCGCACAGAGACGCGCCCGGAGAGGAGCAGCCGAGGGCGCAGGCGCGAGGGCAGCCACCCAGCCCAGCCCUCCCACAGCCAGCCACCCCGCUGCCCUUCACCUGCGUGGCUGCGGGGGCCCAAGAGCGCUGAAGCCCCGAGGGAGCCGGUCUCUAGAAAAGUCAGCGGCUGAAGCUGACAGCCCACUCUGAAUAAAUAAAUCAUUUCUGAUCGUUUAUUCCGUGCCUUGGGCACACACCAUGUCUCAUUCACCAUAGUAGAUUCUGGGACCAAAGAUAAACAAGACAAGAUACUUGGUCGGAGGAAACCUCUGGCUUGUGGGGGAAAUACUCAUGUAAAUGGCUUAAAACAACGUGGUACAUCUAUGCAGCCUGCUACUGGAGUAGCCAAUAUCCAUUAGCCUUCAUUUCCACGCAGCAGGAAGAACAGAGGCACGGGGGCAUGGUGCUGCCAGUCAAUAGGUAGAUAAGCUUCCUAGAAGAUUGCAGGGAUGGGGCAGAGGACCAGACUGCAAGAGUGGCUGAGUAGAAAGGGGCACUACGGGUUUCCUAAGUUGUGUACUGUCAAUAAUGUGGGGGCAAUGACGUUCUGACUUCCUCACCAGAGAGCUGGCUCUGGCAGUGACAGGUAGACAGAUGUGAGGCCACACUGCGGGCACAGAAGUGAGUUGGGAGGCAGUCUGAAAGCAAAAUGUGAUGAGGCAUUGGCAGGGGGCAUGGAGAGGAGGGAACUGGGCAGCUGAUGCAAUCUGCAAGAGAAGAAAACCAGCCGAGGUAGGAUGACUCCCAAGUUUCUAGCACCAAGUUGGGUGACUACGUGCCUGACAGCCAAUAAAAGCACAGGUGGAGAAACAUGCUUUAGGAGAAAGAUUGUUCUCAUCUACAUGUGUUGAGUUUGAAAUGUUUGGGGGACAUCCCAGUGUACGUGUCCCAUAAGCCACUGGACACACAGGAGGUUUGGACUAGGAAUAUUGAUCAGUAGUCAUCAGCCCAAAGGUGGCAUGAGAAAGGAUGGAAUGAAUAGGGAAGAUCAUCCAAAUUGUGAAGAAUCUAGGAGGACAGCGUACAGCCAAAGGAAGGAGACUGGAAGCAAGGGUCAGAGAGGUGUGGGACGCAUCAGAAAAGCCAAAAGAGCAGACGACUGUAAGAAGGGAAGGGUCAGAUGUGUACAGGCUGCAGGGAAGACAAACAGGAUGAUAACUGAAAAAAAAAAAAAAAAAGAGUAUCUGAGGGCACUUGUGACCAUUGACAGAGCAGGAUAGUGCUCUAAUGGAGGAAAGGAGGUUGCUCACAAGUACCAGUGACCAUGCUGGCCAUUGCUGCCAGGUCGAAGCCCCUCCACUGGCCCUUGGCCUUGCCCAAUGAAAGCAUUGUCUCCAUUUUACAGAUGUGAUAAGUGUAGAGAGGUUAAGUAACUUUAUAUAGGCACACAGCUGCUCUGUAGACAAUAUGAACCAAUGUGCUCCAAAAGACUAUGUUCUUACUUAACCUCUUAACCCUGACUCUCUACCCUCUCUCCUGCCAUUGAAUAACAUCCUGACUCGUCAAUGCACCUUGAUUCUUUUGAUUAUCUCCCUUUAGUCCAACAACCGUCGUAUCUACAGCGAUCCUUAGAGAACAAUUAAGGCCAGUUGACAGUAAAGAACAAUCAGUGUGUAUUUGAAGUCCAUGCUGAGAGAGCAUCAAUCUUCUGGCAGCUGCAAGACUGACCUAUCAACCGAGGCAUUUCUUCAUUCCCUGCCAUUGUCUCCUCCUCUUGAGAUCGCCAUCAGGCACAGUCACUUUUCUACAAACAGGCAAUAGGACUCCCGCUGCCACCCUGCCCAGAUUUUAGUCCUCUACUGCUGAUAAAGUGAGCAAAGAUACGUGGCACUUCCUGAACCCAAAUACUCUUCUGAGCUGAUUCUAAAUCCACACAGAAUCAACCUACCUCCUAUUACCUCCUUCCAAGCUCUGUGUCCCAUUCUCUCAUUUCAGUCUCAGCUCCAGACAUCAGUGAAUUCAAUGUGAUACAUCAGGGGACAUCACAGGACUUCCCUACUUGAAAAUCAAGCAAUCGUGUCCCUGAAACACUCUGUCUUUAUUCAUGCUCAGUUACCGUAAAGUAGAUGCAACUCUAAGAACCUAUGGAUUUUUUUAUUGCCACUAAUAGAUCAUGAUUUACAGCAAAAUUUUAAAAGGUCCAAUUUUACUCACAUAAGAAGAAGAAAACAUUCAGCAAGAAGCAUUUCUUUUGCUUUAUCUUUCCCAGUUAAAUAUGACUUUAAAAAAGACAAAAUUUUAAAAGGUCCAAUUUUACUCACAAAAGAAGAAGAAAACAUUCAGCAAGAAGCAUUUCUUUUGCUUUAUCUUUCCCAGUUAAAUAUGACUUUAAAAAAGACAAAAUUUUAAAAGGUCCAAUUUUACUCACAUAGGAAACAAGAAGAAAACAUUCAGCAAGAAGCAUUUCUUUUGCUUUAUCUUUCCCAGUUAAAUAUGACUUUGAAAAAGAAGAGCACACCUCAUUAGCCGUAAUUGUCUGAUUAAUACAAAGAAAUGGACUCAUAUCACGGGGUUCUACUACCCCUAUGGUAGUGUUUACUAUCCUUAUUUCACUCAAUAAUUACAGUUACUUUAACCAGAAUGCCUGCCUUGUUUGGCAUUUUGGGAGAGGAAGCAUAUGACUGUAAACCCUCUUCAAACUUUCAGACUUACGUUUGCUUCUUCUAAGUCCAUCGAC